UAACGGUUACUGUUAAUGUAUCAGAAAUAGUUGCUUUUAUGUAUAACCAUAUGGACUUCAAAGCUGUUCACCAUUUCAAACAGUAAGAUUAACCCAUACCUAUCAGUAACAAUAUAUGAUACUGCUCUGAUAUUGUUAAAUUAUAUGGGAAUGGAUUCAAGCAAGAUAUGGUGGAAAUAUACCGCCACCAUUCGACAAAUUGUUUUUGUUUAAAUUUGUGCAACACACUCACACAUUUGCAUUUGACAAUAUUGAACUACAUUUUAACAGUUCGACAAAUAGUUACAUUUUGUUGGUAUUUGUAGGCGACAUUUAAUCUAGCGUUGAGUGCAGAAAAAAAUCGCCGUCGGAUUGCCGUCGAAGGAAAACUGUCAAGCUGUAUUGUUUACCUACUUCUUAUUCUAAUAUUAAAACUGUUCAAAGCUUGCAAUUAAUUUAUAAAAGUCGAGUUGAAAUUAAGUUUACAAAUCAGCAAUUCACAAAAAAAAUGACAACUGUGAUCGACCCAGAACUGCGCACCAAAAAUCGAUACCGCUUGCCGGAUGGAGGAGGAAUUCAUCAAACUACAACGAAAAAGUAGCCAAGAAGCGGCAUCAGAUGACCCGGCUCUACAUGGACAACGGUUUGCUGGUGUGGAACGGAAAUGGUGCCAACGGGAAGGACAACAUCCAGAAGUACUUCCAGGAACUGCCCCGCUUCGAACACAUUAUGAACACCCUGCUCGCUCAGCCGAUCAUUGGCGACGCUGUGCCCUCGCAGCUAACGUUCAUCAUCAAGGUUUCGGGAACGGUCAUCUUCCAGGACAAUUCUACCAAACAUUUCCUGAAGACAUUCACGGUUACAGCUCAGGGCGACAAGUGGAAGAUUGCGAGUGAUUGCAGCGCUGCUUCCGGUUGCUAGAUGCUAUCUUUUAAGGGAAUCGAUCAAUACAUGGAUGCAUUGGAAGACGAUA
rnacentral:lncRNA from 1 species